GGGCGCAUAGCUCAGUGGCAGAGCACAGUCCUGAUAAGGCUGGGGUCGAAGGUUCGAUACCUUCUGCGCCCA
rnacentral:tRNA from 2 species